rnacentral:tRNA from 1 species
GGGUGAUUAGCUCAGCUGGGAGAGCACCUCCCUUACAAGGAGGGGGUCGGCGGUUCGAUCCCGUCAUCACCGCA